AGUGAACGCUGGCGGUAGGCCUAACACAUGCGAGUCGAACGGCAGCACAGUAAGAGCUUGCUCUUACGGGUGGCGAGUGGCGGACGGGUGAGGAAUACAUCGGAAUCUACUUUUUCGUGGGGGAUAACGUAGGGAAACUUACGCUAAUACCGCAUACGACCUACGGGUGAAAGCAGGGGAUCUUCGGACCUUGCGCGAUUGAAUGAGCCGAUGUCGGAUUAGCUAGUUGGCGGGGUAAAGGCCCACCAAGGCGACGAUCCGUAGCUGGUCUGAGAGGAUGAUCAGCCACACUGGAACUGAGACACGGUCCAGACUCCUACGGGAGGCAGCAGUGGGGAAUAUUGGACAAUGGGCGCAAGCCUGAUCCAGCCAUACCGCGUGGGUGAAGAAGGCCUUCGGGUUGUAAAGCCCUUUUGUUGGGAAAGAAAAGCAGCAGGUUAAUACCCCGCCGUUCUGACGGUACCCAAAGAAUAAGCACCGGCUAACUUCGUG
rnacentral:rRNA from 1 species